rnacentral:tRNA from 1 species
GGAAAGCUCAACUGGUAGAGCAACGAUCUUAUCAAUCGUUUGUCGCGGGUUCGAUUCCCGCUCCA